rnacentral:misc_RNA from 1 species
AAGUCGUAACAAGGUCUCCGUAGGUGAACCUGCGGAGGGAUCAUAUUAUGGAUUGAUAGCUCUGGGUUAAGUUAUACUAGGUUAGGUUAUACUAGGCUAGGGCUAAAAACAGAAGAGCAUAUAUAUUUGAGGGAAGGGUGUUGUUGGUAGCAACAACAGCCUUUUUAAAAUUGGUUUAUAAAAAAGACAUUUAUUAUAUAAUGGAAAUCAAAACAACUUUUAACAACGGAUCUCUAGGCUCUU